UACGUAGGGGGCAAGCGUUAUCCGGAUUUACUGGGUGUAAAGGGAGCGUAGACGGCGAUGCAAGCCAGAUGUGAAAGCCCGGGGCUCAACCCCGGGACUGCAUUUGGAACUGUGUGGCUGGAGUGUCGGAGAGGCAAGUGGAAUUCCUAGUGUAGCGGUGAAAUGCGUAGAUAUUAGGAGGAACACCAGUGGCGAAGGCGGCUUGCUGGACGAUGACUGACGCUGAGGCACGAAAGCGUGGGGAGCAAAUAGG
rnacentral:rRNA from 1 species